GACGUAGGGGGCUAGCGUUGCUCGGAAUCACUGGGCGUAAAGCGCACGUAGGCGGAUUGCUAAGUCAGGGGUGAAAUCCUGGAGCUCAACUCCAGAACUGCCUUUGAUACUGGUGAUCUUGAGUCCGGGAGAGGUGAGUGGAACUGCGAGUGUAGAGGUGAAAUUCGUAGAUAUUCGCAAGAACACCAGUGGCGAAGGCGGCUACCUGGACAAUUGCUGACGCUCAGGCACGAAAGCGUGGGGAGCAAAAGGG
rnacentral:rRNA from 1 species